rnacentral:lncRNA from 1 species
CAGAGUAACCGGAGGGGGCAUGAAAUGAACCCGGAAGGGAAGCCACAGGAGCAGGAGUGGAGAGAAAGCGAAAGAGGAAAGGUGUUUUCCCAUUCGAUUGAUCGAUUCAGAGUCCCGAACCGAAGCCCAAGCCCAUACUCUGACUAAGAAAAGUGGAAGUUCCUACCCUGGGAACAUUGACAUACGAUCUUUCCGGAUUAGGGAGCAGAGUAUGAACCUGAAACCAAUAUGAAAGAAAGUCAUCAAGCAAGAUAGCAAGUGUCAAGUGUAGGUCUCCCAUUCUAUUAAUGGGAGUUAGAACAUGAAAUGAAGAAGUAAUAAAGAACGUUACCGCCCCAAAUCUCAUUGAUUAG